CUGAUGCGUUGUUGGGUAGGGGAGCGUUCUGUAAGCCUGUGAAGGUGGCCUGUGAGGGUUGCUGGAGGUAUCAGAAGUGCGAAUGCUGACAUAAGUAACGAUAAAGCGGGUGAAAAGCCCGCUCGCCGGAAGACCAAGGGUUCCUGUCCAACGUUAAUCGGGGCAGGGUGAGUCGACCCCUAAGGCGAGGCCGAAAGGCGUAGUCGAUGGGAAACGGGUUAAUAUUCCCGUACUUGGUGUUACUGCGAAGGGGGGACGGAGAAGGCUAUGUUGGCCGGGCGACGGUUGUCCCGGUUUAAGCGUGUAGGUGUGUGUUCCAGGUAAAUCCGGUUCACUUUAACACUGAGGCGUGACGACGAGGCACUACGGUGCUGAAGCAACAAAUGCCCUGCUUCCAGGAAAAGCCUCUAAGCAUCAGGUAACAUCAAAUCGUACCCCAAACCGACACAGGUGGUCAGGUAGAGAAUACCAAGGCGCUUGAGAGAACUCGGGUGAAGGAACUAGGCAAAAUGGUGCCGUAACUUCGGGAGAAGGCACGCUGACACGUAGGUGAAGUGAUUUACUCAUGGAGCUGAAGUCAGUCGAAGAUACCAGCUGGCUGCAACUGUUUAUUAAAAACACAGCACUGUGCAAACACGAAAGUGGACGUAUACGGUGUGACGCCUGCCCGGUGCCGGAAGGUUAAUUGAUGGGGUCAGCGCAAGCGAAGCUCCUGAUCGAAGCCCCGGUAAACGGCGGCCGUAACUAUAACGGUCCUAAGGUAGCGAAAUUCCUUGUCGGGUAAGUUCCGACCUGCACGAAUGGCGUAAUGAUGGCCAGGCUGUCUCCACCCGAGACUCAGUGAAAUUGAACUCGCUGUGAAGAUGCAGUGUACCCGCGGCAAGACGGAAAGACCCCGUGAACCUUUACUAUAGCUUGACACUGAACAUUGAGCCUUGAUGUGUAGGAUAGGUGGGAGGCUUUGAAGUGUGGACGCCAGUCUGCAUGGAGCCGACCUUGAAAUACCACCCUUUAAUGUUUGAUGUUCUAACGUGGACCCGUUACCCGGGUUGCGGACAGUGUCUGGUGGGUAGUUUGACUGGGGCGGUCUCCUCCUAAAGAGUAACGGAGGAGCACGAAGGUUGGCUAAUCCUGGUCGGACAUCAGGAGGUUAGUGCAAUGGCAUAAGCCAGCUUGACUGCGAGCGUGACGGCGCGAGCAGGUGCGAAAGCAGGUCAUAGUGAUCCGGUGGUUCUGAAUGGAAGGGCCAUCGCUCAACGGAUAAAAGGUACUCCGGGGAUAACAGGCUGAUACCGCCCAAGAGUUCAUAUCGACGGCGGUGUUUGGCACCUCGAUGUCGGCUCAUCACAUCCUGGGGCUGAAGUAGGUCCCAAGGGUAUGGCUGUUCGCCAUUUAAAGUGGUACGCGAGCUGGGUUUAGAACGUCGUGAGACAGUUCGGUCCCUAUCUGCCGUGGGCGCUGGAGAACUGAGGGGGGCUGCUCCUAGUACGAGAGGACCGGAGUGGACGCAUCACUGGUGUUCGGGUUGUCAUGCCAAUGGCACUGCCCGGUAGCUAAAUGCGGAAGAGAUAAGUGCUGAAAGCAUCUAAGCACGAAACUUGCCCCGA
rnacentral:rRNA from 2 species